rnacentral:rRNA from 1 species
UACGUAGGGGGCAAGCGUUGUCCGGAAUCAUUGGGCGUAAAGAGCGUGUAGGCGGUCCUGUAAGUCCGCUGUGAAAGUCAAGGGCUCAACCCUCGAAUGCCGGUGGAUACUGCAGGACUAGAGUCCGGAAGAGGCGAGUGGAAUUCCUGGUGUAGCGGUGAAAUGCGUAGAUAUCUGGAGGAAUACCGGUGGCGAAGGCGG